rnacentral:rRNA from 1 species
UACGGAGGGUGCAAGCGUUAUCCGGAUUUACUGGGUUUAAAGGGUGCGUAGGUGGGUUGGUAAGUCCGUGGUGAAAUCUCUGAGCUUAACUCAGAAACUGCCAUGGAUACUAUUUGUCUUGAAUAUUGUGGAGGUAAGCGGAAUAUGUCAUGUAGCGGUGAAAUGCUUAGAUAUGACAUAGAACACCAAUUGCGAAGGCAGCUUACUACACAGUUAUUGACGCUGAGGCACGAAAGCGUGGGGAUCAAACAGG